AGAGCGCGGUGCGAGCGUAGGCAUGGGUCAAAGUGUAGUAUCUGUUUUUAUCAGCUUACUAUCUCAGACGGGUUGUACUUUGACCUAAGAUAUUAAACGUAUUUUUGCAAGUUGGCAGAGUGCUUAAAGCCUGCUUCACCAACGCUGCGGGUUGGCUUGGUAUCACACUAUCUUCGGUAUCGGCCGACGUAUG